UGAACCUGCGGAAGGAUCAUUGAAUCUAUCAAUAACCACACCGUGCACUCUUUUGUCCGGCCCAUCAUUCUCUCCGGAGUUUGGUGCUUCCCGGGUAGCAUUAACUUGCUGCUUGGGUUGGGCUUGGCUGCCCAUUAAUUUGGGUAGUUAGGCUGGUCUUUACCAACCAACAACACCAAAUCAAACCUAAAGCCAAAGAUAUGUGCUCGGCCUAGCCGUCACAUCCUAACUGAGACAACUCUCAACAACGGAUAUCUUGGCUCUCGCAACGAUGAAGAACGCAGCGAAAUGCGAUACGUAGUGUGAAUUGCAGAAUUCCGUGAAUCAUCAAAUCUUUGAACGCAAAUUGCGCCCAAGGCUUCGGCUGAGGGCAUGUUUGCCUCAGCGUCGGGUUAAUCUCACUCCCCAUCUCCCACAGCGGAGCAAAGGGUAGUGGACCUGGCUGUUCCAGAGGUCGAGUGCUUCAUUGCUCUCAUCAAUAGCUCUGGAUCAGCUGAAGAGCAGAGGCUAGCUCAAGGACCCGUCAAGGGCCGCAACUGGGUAGGCAGCUCACGCUUGCUAUUUCUAGUUGUUGGCUUGGGACCAUGAGCUCGGCCCUCAAACAGGAACCCUCUUUUUUCUCGACCUGAGCUCAAGCAAGACCACCCGCUGAACUUAAGCAUAUCAAUAAGCGGAGGAAAAGAAACUAACAAGGAUUCCCUUAGUAAUGGCGAAUGAAACGGGAAUAGCCCAACUUGAAAAUCUCCCUUUGGAGAAUUGUAGUCUAGAGAAGCGCCCUCUGCGGCGGCCGGAGCCUAAGUCCGUUGGAAAACGGCGUCAGAGAGGGUGAGAACCCCGUCGGCUCUAGGCUUAGUUGCUCCACGAGGUGCUUUCCACGAGUCGGGUUGUUUGGGAAUGCAGCCCAAAAUGGGAGGUACAUCCCUUCUAAGGCUAAAUACUGGCGAGAGACCGAUAGCGAACAAGUACCGUGAGGGAAAGAUGAAAAGAACUUUGAAAAGAGAGUUAAAAAGUGCUUGAAAUUGUUGAGAGGGAAGCGUUUGGAGGUUAUGGGUGCGCCUAGGCUUAUACGGUUCUAACGAGCUGUUGUAUGUGCUAGGUGCUGGUCAACAUGGGUUAGCUUGGCGGGAUAACAGCGGGGGUUGUUCACUCCGUCUAUGCCGCCGGGUUGAUCAAGGUGUGAAUGGCGCUCUGUCCCUCGGGAACUGCGUCAUCAAGAUGUUGGCAGAAGGCCUUCAAACGA
rnacentral:rRNA from 1 species